rnacentral:rRNA from 1 species
UGGGGAAUAUUGGACAAUGGGGGGAACCCUGAUCCAGCAAUGCCGCGUGUGUGAAGAAGGCCUGAGGGUUGUAAAGCACUUUCAGAGGGGAGGAGGACUAUUAGGUUAAGAGCUAGAUAGUUGGACGUUACCCUCAGAAGCAGCACCGGCUAACUCCGUGCCAGCAGCCGCGGUAAUACGGGGGGUGCAAGCGUUAAUCGGAAUUAUUGGGCGUAAAGGGCGCGUAGGCGGCAAUUCAAGUCAUCUGUGAAAUCUCCGGGCUUAACUCGGAACGGUCAGAUGAUACUGCUUUGCUAGAGUGCAGAAGGGGCAAUCGGAAUUCUUGGUGUAGCGGUGAAAUGCGUAGAUAUCAAGAGGAACACCUGAGGUGAAGACGGGUUGCUGGGCUGACACUGACGCUGAGGCGCGAAAGCCAGGGGAGCAAACGGGAUUAGAUACCCCCGUAGUCCCUGAGCGGGCUGGCAAGGCGCAU